rnacentral:lncRNA from 1 species
UUUUGUGAUAUUUACAGUGGUAAGAUAUUUUAACUACAAUUGAUUAAAACCACUGUCUCCGUCCAUCCCAUCUUUCCCCCAGUGGCAGGCAAUGCUGGAGUGGCCACAAACAUAUUUGAAAUCUGGCUAAAGAAAAUUUACCUUGACAAUACUUUGAGUUUGAGUUUAAUGGUAUACAUUUAUAUGGUUUAUGGUCACUUAAAGUGUAUAGGUAUGUAAUUGCUGACCAUCUGGAUACAGAGAUGACUUCCAGGAAUCUUUCUCAUGCUCUUUGACUCAAACGGGGCAGAGGUAGAGAUCCUUUGAUUGUGGUCAGUUCAAAGAGCAGUGUGACUACACUGCUUAUGGAAACUUGAAAUGCCUUAAAAUCAUCAGGUCUUAGAUGAAACACCUUGGGUAGAGAUUUCCAUCUGUAUCUGACAGCAAUCCUUUGUAACACUAUAAAUGAUGAUAUAUGAAACUAAAAGGAACAUUUUAAACUAUCAAAAAAUACAUCUUUAAUAUGCUAAAACAAAGACUUAAUUAUCUUCCUAUUCUUUCUAGAAAAUAUUACGAAAUUAUUGUCAUGUGAAGAAUACAUCAAAAAAUAAGGGACAGACAAUAAAUUAAUAAAAGUACUAUGCUUUUUGGGCAUUUUGAUACUUACUUUAUUUGCCAUCUUAGGAAAAUUUGGUCCUUAUUAAGACUCUUAUUCUCAAUAAAUUAUUACAUGUAGCUAAUUUUGCAUUUGCAGGUUUGUGUUAUCUUUUGGGGGAGCAUCCCUAGUGGUAUAAGCUCCAUAACCUGAAAAACCUGGAUUCAAUCCUGCAUGACAGGAAACUAAAAUAAUUCAAUUUAUUUUCCUAAGAAUAUUAUGUAUUUGUUUCAAAUUAAAUUUAGUUACCAAAAAUAAAGAUUUGUUUAAAGUUUUCCUUUUUUACUUUAAUAGAUUUCAUCAAGAUGAAGGACCUUUAUGUAGUUGCUCUUAAUAUGGCAAUUCUGUUACGUUGUUUCAUAGCCUGGCAAGCUAAAUUGAAGUAAAUAGUACAUUUUCAAAGACUCAGCUUUGCUAUCUAUUAAAUGGGUAAUGAAUUAGAUUGCCUACUUUCACUUCCCUCUGGUCACCUUGGUUGUGCCUUUUGCUAAGUGAAAAAAAGACAAAUACCCAUCACAAAUAAUAUACAGUGAUAUAAUACACAUUAACUUAGGACAGGUUUGCAAUUUCUCUGUGGCUUAACUUUUUCAAAAAUAACCUGGGACAAUUAAUACAUGCUUCACAGGGAAGCUUAGAGGGUUAGUAACACAAUACCAGUGUAAAGGCUUAGAAAAAAAGUGGCCUCUAAGACUGAGGUAGAAUUAUACAUGAUGUGUCCCAAACAAAUUGGAUUAUUCCAGAAUGGCUAUAGGCCCUUAGUUUCAUGAAUGAUCCUUUAAAAACAAAGAGUUAAACCCUGAAGGUUCAGUUACAGCUUGAUGAAAUACUUGGAAUGACCAAAUUUAGAAUUCAGACUUUGUUGUACUUCAGAGAUAAGGAACGGCCACAACUACCAUUUCUUACCCUUGUCCAGAACAACACCUUAUUAUUCUCUCCUUUCUCCAUAAAUUGGAGUUUACUAGGCUAAGCAAUUUUUUACAUAAGUUUUGCAGGCAUAUCUGGUGGCUGCCACCAGAUAGAAGGGGUGAGGACAUUUUCAUGCACUACUGGUCAUGGCCUUAAACUCUUCAUCAUUUCUGUUUCUUUCCUACAAAUCCAAUCUUUGUUAAAAUAACAAAACAUAGCAGUUAACAUUUCAAAUAUUUGCUCAUAUUACUUAUACACUAUAAAAUGCUAAUAAUGAGAAAAAAUUUCAAAAAGGUAAAAAAAUUUAGGACACUUUAAUUCUUACCAACCAUUGUAAAUUUUUUUUUUAAUGUGCUUAUUUUUUUUAUUUUUUUUUCAGAUUCCUUUUUAAUUUUUUUUUUUUAAUUUUCCCACUGUACAGCAAGGGGGUCAGGUUAUCCUUACAUGUAUACAUUACAAUUACAUUUUUCCCCCACCCUUUCUUCUGUUGCAACAUGAGUAUCUAGACAUAGUUCUCAAUGCUAUUCAGCAGGAUCUCCUUGUAAAUCUAUUCUAAGUUGUGUCUGAUAAAUUUAAAUCUUGUUCUCAUUCAAGGCAUUUUCCUAAACUCAAAGUCAUUCAUUGAUAAUUUGUGGACUCCCAGUUCUAGUGCUUUGGUGCUUGAGAAGAACCCUGACAGAAAUAGCCCUCAUAGAAAGCCCUCUUUAAAUUUAUUUGGGAGAAUAAUUUCUAUUUUAUAAAUACCACUCACAGCUGAUCAGAGGCUAGGUAUUAAGGCCUUUUUAAAACUUCUGAUUAGCUCUCAAUUCACCCAGACCAGGUUUCCAAAUUUUUACAGCGUUCUGCUCCAUGUGGCCUCAGAGAGAAGAAAAAUAUUCACCUCAGUUUAUAAAUCUUUUCAGGAGGCAAAAUAUCCUAUAUUUUGCCCAAACUCUCAGAGGGUCUCUUUCUGGUAAAAAGUGUUUGUUUUCUCUAUUUCUCUAACUUUUCCAAGAGAUUACAAUUCUUUAAAAUGACCAUUUGGCAUAAAAGCUAAUAUACUCUAAAGUAUUUUCUUUUGUAAGUUCUUCAGGCUUUUGCUGUUUCAUAACUAUUCCUUUCCAGAACUUUCUGGUACCAAUUUACUUCAAGGGAAUCUUAGAUUUUUAUCAUAGCCUUUAUUUCAAAAAUGACUUGAACAGCAAACUCAAGUUUUGAAGAGGUUAUAGAAGUUUCCUUGCUUAACUAAAGAGCCCAUAGUCUAAACAAAAACUCAAAUACAAAAGCUCUCUUGAUAACCAGAAAAAUGAUACUGUUGGAAAUUGUUUAAAUUCUACUGAUAACAAAACCCAUUCCCAGUAAAAUAAAAUGAAUGCUCAUAUGGAUAUUCCGUUAUGAAAAUAGGUUUCCUUUUAUCUUCUGUGGUAAGUAUUUAUUGUUUUAACAGCUCUUGGUAAGAAAAGCAUAGCUACAUGUAUGGGUAUAAUUUUCUUUGAUGUAAAUUUCUCUUCUGUUAUUUUCCUUACCUCCUAUUUGUAAUUUUGCAUUGCUUUAUGGAGCAUCCAUGACACUGUUAACUUUUUUCCCAAACAAAUAGGGUCAUUUACUCUAGUUCUGCUCCAAUAGCUUGAAAAGUCCCCAUUAAACACCCAGGUAUCUUCCUAAUUAAAGCAGGUACCUGACUCUUGAAAGCCCACUGGAAAAUUCCACUGAUGUUUGACACUUGGGGCAAAUCAGCAAUGAGAACUUCUGCUUAAGCUUUUUUAAACUACAAAGGCUCUUAGAAUGUGAGCCAAGUACUUAACUGGUAUAACUUUUCCAAAGAAUUCCAGAAGUAACUCUUAUCUUCUUAAGUUGAUGAAUCGAAAGAUAUAAAUAAGACUUUAUCUUAGGAAAUUAUCUCUGGAAGCUUACUGCACAAUAUUUUGUUGUAUAAACAAACAGUUUCAAAGGAAAAACCAUCCUUAAUUAGAACAAACUUUAGUGCAGGUAUUGAAAAUGGUCUAUUCUGAAACCCUUGGAGAAGCAGCAUCUCAAAUGGUAUCUUUAUUGCUAUUAAGUAUACAUGACCUAUGGCAUAAUCUUGGGUAUGUUCCCCUUAAUGGAAACAACCAAUUGCUUUUGAGUCACCUCUUCACCAUGGUAAUCAUAAGUAAUUGAAUAUAAUUCAAGGAAUACUUCUAAAUAGUUUGGCAAGAAAAAAAACCUAAAAUUGGGUAAAACUUUCCUAAAUAUUUCACUCCUCAAUUUCAAAAUAUCUAGAGAUAAAUUUUAAAAGUGUCUUGGAAAUUCAGAUGCAAUCAAUUUCACCUAAAAAUUUCAGGAUUAUAGUUUUGUCACAAUUGUAGCAGAUAAGCUGAUUCUUUGUGAAUAACCAAAAAUUGAUAAAAAUCAAUAAACAUUCCCCAAAAAGAAAGACUACAAGGCAAUGCAGUUGACCUUUUGACUUGCCUGAGUAAUUGACCUGAGUAAUUUAUGAGGUCUUCUUCAUCUCUUUUAAUUGUUCUGUUAACAUGUUGAGAUAUAUUUUGUUUUGUUUUUCUUAUUUAAAAUUAAACAGCCAUAACCAAAUGAGUCAUAAACCUAAUAUUUAUAUCUUUAUCAUUUCUUUUUUUAGUAUGAGAUAAUAAUUAAACAAUUAUAUAUUGAUUUAGCAUAUAUUUAAAGAGACUAAAGGUAAGAAAGUAUACUAGAAAAUGUGUUGAGUUCAGCUCGAAAUGUUACAUGAAUUAAGCAGUUUUUUCCCCUAUAUUCCUUUAGUCUACUCAUUCAUUCAUUAUGUAAAUAGGCUAAACCUGUUUAGAAUAAUAUACAGAAUAAGUUAUCAUGUAUCAUUAUCACUGUUAUUAUUUUGCUCCUUGUUCUCUUUACCUAUCAUAAGCACUGAGCCCCCUGAGCUGUCUCCAAGGUUGAGGAACAGUGUAUUUAGACUCUGUGAAAGAGGGGACUGCUAAAAAGGAGGAUUUUAUCAAAGGGGCACAUGGACCUCCCUAGAGGAUAGACUUCUUGGCAUUAUGACUUCCUCAAGUUCUCAAAUUGUGCUGGUGACUGACUGAAUCCUCUAUGCUGCCUGGUCUCUAAUUAAAACAAGAUGUCUGAUAUCAGAGGAAAUGAGGAACAGAGUUCUGGCAUGAAAAGCAUUUCUCAUUUCCUUUGGACAUUUGAGACUUUAAGUGAGUUGUGGCACUCCACCUCUGGUGAUUCAGUGACACCAUGCAUUUAAAAUAAUACCCACUCCUCUCUUUGUAACAUGGACUCCAGUUUAGGACAUCAUUUUCUUAUAUGAAAACAGCUAUGACUACCAUGAUAAAAUCUGCUUUGUUAUAGAAUUUAUAUGAAAAGUUUUAAAAAUUUAAACUCAUGUAUAAUAGAAGGCUUCCUAUGACACCACAUCUGGUUAAUAAUCAACAAAGAAAUGUUGAUGCAAAUUAUAUAAACCUAUUGGUACCGUAAUCAUUUAUUCUAAAUAGUUUGCACAAGAACAGUUAAUGAGGAGGAAUGAAGGCAUUAGUUUGGAAGACUUGGAAGAGAUUUGACCUUCUUGUUUCUCUGAGCCAACAAAGCAGGUCAUCUAGAUAUAUGCUUACUCAGGACUAGAACAUCUAUAGGAGAAAUCGAUUCCUAGAGGAUGAGAUUAAUUUGCAGCAUGUCAAACUCUUUAACACUGCAAAUUUGCCACAGGCAUGGGAUCUUUUUUCAUGUAUUUUUACUUUCUUUCAUCCUUAGUCUGAAUGUUCUUCCAAGCAUUUAUUCAGUAUUCAUUAAAUUGAUAAAUGGUCUUUAAGAUAUUUUUCUACAACCAGUCUGUAAACUCUGCUGAAAUAGCCUUUCCCAGAAUAGAGAGCUAUGAAAGGCAUUGGAAUGCCAAUCAAAUUUUGAUUCAGUAAAAAAAAAAAAAAGUUAGAUACAUUUAAAGCUAUAAAUUCUUCUGUCUACCAAAGACAAUUUUUCUCACCUUUCCUUUGGAUUUUUUAGUUGUCUUUGCUGAAAAAUGUGUAUAUUAAAAUUGUACAAAGAUAGUAAAGCCGGUGUGGGGAUAUACUGGAAUUACACUUUAAAUUUAAUAAUUGACUGUUCUUCAUGGAGUCACCAUGACAAACUACAGAAUCUAGAAAGCAUGUUUUUUCCUAUUGUUUCACUAUGUUUCCUUCAGUGCAGUUUGAUUUUUAUCAAUAGGGUGUUGACAUCAUUUCCUUUCUAAGUGGCCAUUGUUUAACUCUGGUGGAGAGCGGCAGGAAGAAGGCAAUAUAUUUAUUUAUAUAAAAGGUUCUAGUCAGGAAAAUACUUUCUUGGGUAUUUUAUUUCCUCAUUGUCAAAUGCAAGGUUCUUAUAAAAAGAUAGUGGCAGUGUUUCCAUUUAACACAAAAAUGCGGUCAUUUGUUUCUGUUCAUGGAGCUUUUUCUUACCUCCAUAUCACUUUUGAUAAACAUGUUUUAUUUUGGGAUUUACUUUUUAUCCUCCCCUAAAUUCCAAAAAGUUAUCUUGGCAUUAGGAUCCC